ensembl:lncRNA
AGAUGGGGAUUACGGGGCAGGUGGGUGGCGAUAUGGUAUACAUAGAUAAGAGAAAGCUGGUGACGUUCAUAGCAGGAGUUAUCAACAGCACCGCUGAAGUAAAGUCUAAAACGGAGAAGAUUAAGCGAAUAGUGGGUGCUGCUGGGAGACAUCUGAGUAUGACAGGCUUGACAUGGGAAGAGGUUCAAGAUGACCUCAAUCAGCCGAGGGUGGAGUCCUGUAUUACUGGAUCUUAAUUAUGAUGGUAGUACUACAAUGGAAUGCUCCAAGCCUGUUGGCUAAUGGGCAGGAGUUAAAUAAUUUAAUUGUGGAUAUGCCAGCUAAGCCUGAUGUGAUUUGUGUGCAGGAAACAUGACUCAAACCGAAUGUGGAGUUAAUAACACAUAGGGACAGAGGGGAAGGGGUGAUGUGCCACCUUAAUAAAGCAAGGACUUCCAUACAGGAUGCUAGGUAAAGGUAUUGAACAGGAAUAUGUGGUGGUGGCAGUGUGGUUGAGAGGAGAGAUGGUAGUUAACUACUAUAAUUUCAGGUAUUAGACCAAGAAAAGUUGGAGAUGGUGGAGGGCCAGGAUAGAAGUAAGGUAAUAUGUGUGGGAUUUUAAUGUCCACAACACGCUCUGGGGGUGGAUGGAUGGAUGGAAAUGGCCAGGUGAUGGAAAAUCUGAAAGAAGUUAAAGAUCUGGUGUGCCUGAAUGAUGGCCGAGGGACCAGGAUUGAUGUAGUUACAGGGAAAGAGUUUGGAUUGGACCUCUCGGGUAUCUAGUGUGAUGACAGGAAUCUGUGACUGGGAGGAGUUGACAGUAGGGAGUGAUCAUUACCCCAUAGUAUGCACAGUAGGCCAGAGGGAGGAGGAGGUGUCAGUGGUAGGCAGGUGGGUGUUUGAAAGGGCAAAGUGGGAUCAGUUUCAGGAGUUAAGUGAGCGGGUGAUGGCUCGGGUGGAUUUGAAAGGGGAAGUGGAUUGUAUGAAUAACUGGGUGAGAACAGCGUUAGUGGGGAAAGCUACUGAGGCUAUACCUAAGAGUUCAGAGAGGAGGAGGAAUGCAGUCCCGUGGAGGACAAAGGAGUGUGGGGCAAUGGUGAGGAGUAGGAACAGGGCAUUUAGAGUAGAGGUCGACCGAUUAAUCGACAUGGCAGAUUAAUUAGGGACGAUUUGAAGUUUUCAUAACAAUCGGUAAUAGGCAUUUUUGGAUGCCGAUUACAUUGCAAUCCACGAGGAGACUGCGUGGCAGGCUGACCACCUGUUACGUGAGUGCAGGAAGGAGCCAAG